rnacentral:rRNA from 1 species
UACGAAGGGGGCUAGCGUUGUUCGGAAUUACUGGGCGUAAAGCGCACGUAGGCGGGUUGUUAAGUCAGGGGUGAAAUCCUGGAGCUCAACUCCAGAACUGCCUUUGAUACUGAAGAUCUUGAGUUCGGGAGAGGUGAGUGGAACUGCGAGUGUAGAGGUGAAAUUCGUAGAUAUUCGCAAGAACACCAGUGGCGAAGGCGGCUCACUGGCCCGAUACUGACGCUGAGGCACGAAAGCGUGGGGAGCAAACAGG